GCAGGCAGCACAAGGGGAGUCACUGGUAUUUUAUCAUUGGUCACUGGUAUUUCAGCUUUGGAAGCCUCAGGAGAGGCUUCCCCUGUUGACUCAGAAGAGAAGGGGCCAGGAGCACUGAAAAUAAGCUGAUGGGUAGCUGUUCUUUCUCUGUGGCUCUCAUGGCUUUAUUCACCAGAAUCAGGGAGGGCAGAAAAAGGGAGUGUUCAGGAAGCUGUGUAGAACAAGCUGAGUCCAAGUAGGGAACAGAAGGAAGAGGAGACAGGUCCUCGAAGUUUUUUGUCAAGCCCCCCAUCUGUGGAAUUUUGGCUGCCUGCUCAGGAAGAGCAGUCCUUGCCUGGACAGGCUGUUGAAGAGCACCAGGUUCCCUUGCUUGUGAGACUGGCUGGAGAUGUGGGCCUGGACAGCUGGCAAAGCAGCAGCUGUGGGAUUGGUGAGAGCACGGAGGGUGUUGCUGCCUCAGCUGCAGUGCCCUGAUUCAGCUGGUUUUGCUGCUCUAGUCUCUACUGAAUUAACAGCAGGAUUUUUUGGAGAUGAGGAAAAAUAGGAUGUAAGAAGAACUGAAGACAUACCUAAGAUGACUUAAGGAGAGCAUAAUUGAACAUUUAACUGAAGGCCUCUGAGCAACCUCCCUUAAGCAGCAGGUGCUGCCUCUGUACUGCAAGGCCUGGCUUAUCCUCUAUAUGUGACAGUUCUGUGCUCCAACUUUCCACUUGCUUCAGCUCUUCUCUCCAGGAACCCCAAGCAGGCCAGUUUUCCUCUGCUUAAACUCAACAACAACAACAAAAGCCAGCUGAAUGGGUAUUUACAGACUUGGGAAUCCAGAAGGAAAAUGUGCCAGUAUUAUCUCAGGUCUUUUGUUUGCUGGUGCAGAGAGGAGGAUGACGGGAGAGGAGCCAGCAGUGCCCAUGAACCUUGCACAGAGCUGGCAGGGGCACGGUGGCUGCGCUGGGUUUGGCCACACCUUGGGGAGUGCAUGGGAGGCUGCAGCGUUUGGCCCCGGGCUCUGGGGCAGACUUCUAGGUGGAGCCUCGUAAUCUUCCUUUCCUGCUCCUCCUAGCUACUGACAGCAGUCCUGGGAGCUCUUCUGGGCUACCGAUUUGCCUCCCAGACUGUGCUGCUUUCCUGAAGGCUCUUUUGGACCACAGCACUAACAUCAAUGUCUUGUCACAAGGUUUAGCUUCCCCCUCUCUGGUUUAUAUUUGAAGGGGUGGACACACUCAUAGCUGUAGACAGCUGGUGUGUUUGGACUGAUUAUAGGCAUCUCUGAGAUUUAGUUUCUCUUGUUUGUCUGUCUGGUUCAGUCUCCUCAGUUUUCCAGAAGAAGAUGACAAAAAUGCUGAUGGACUUAUGGAUAAUAGUGUAGGGCACUGGCACAUGCCCAGGUUUACCAACUGCUAAACUGUGGCUCAGUUUAACUGCCAAACUGGCAGUAAAUUCCACUUUCAAGCUAUUUAAACACCUGGCCUGUCUGGGAGUUGUUUCUUUCAGCAGUCAGAGUGAGGAAUAUGAGAUUUCCAGAUCAAAUGAGGAUUAUUUUCCAUUCUUGCACACACCAUAGUUGGAGAUCAUAUCCCAGGCUAGAGUAGAUCAAAAUAGUGACUGAAGGAUAAAAGUGUUAGGCAUGUAAGCCCCAGCAAUAACCAGUUAAUGAAUAGUUUUGUCCCCUUCUGCUUUUCUUGGUGCCUCUGUCUUUGCCUCCUACUGUGCUAUGAUUCCUCAGUCUAUAGCAGGACCUAUGACUGUAAUGAUAUUUUCAGGCAGAGCUGAGUCUGCUUCUUGCUGUCCUGAGUCCAAUAAACUACAGUCAUCAAGUUUC